AUUGAACGCUGGCGGCAGGCCUAACACAUGCAAGUCGAACGAGUGGCGGACGGGUGAAUAAUGUCUGGGAAACUGCCAGAUGGAGGGGGAUCACUACUGGAAACGGUAGAUAAUACCGCAUACCCUCGGAGGUGCCCAGAUGGGAUUAUCUAGUAGGUGGGGUAAGGGCUCACAGAGGCGACGAUCCCUAGCUGGGCUGAGAGGAUGACCAGCGACACUGGAACUGAGACACGGUCCAGACUCCUACGGGAGGCAGCAGUGGGGAAUAUUGCACAAUGGGCGAAAGCCUGAUGCAGCCAUGCCGCGUGUAUGAAGAAGGCCUUCGGGUUGUAAAGUACUUUCAGUGAGGAGGCGUUACCCGCAGAAGAAGCACCGGCUAACUCCGUGCCAGCAGCCGCGGUAAUAC
rnacentral:rRNA from 1 species